AGGUGGUGCAGUGGUUGUCGUCAGCUCGUGUCGUGAGAUUGGUUGGGUUAACGUCCCGACAACGAGCGCAACCCCUAUUGUUAGUUGCCAUCAUUCAGUUGGGCACUCUAGCGAGACUGCCGGUAAUAAACCGGAGGAAGUGGGGAUGACGUCAAAUCAUCAUGCCCCUUAUGACCUGGGCUACACACGUGCUACAAUGGUUGGUACAACGAGUUGCGAGUCGGUGACGGCGAGCUAAUCUCUUAAAGCCAAUCUCAGUUCGGAUUGUAGGCUGCAACUCGCCUACAUGAAGUCGGAAUCGCUAGUAAUCGCGGAUCAGCACGCCGCGGUGAAUACGUUCCCGGGCCUU
rnacentral:rRNA from 1 species